rnacentral:tRNA from 1 species
ACUCUAAUAGUUUAUUAAAACAUUGGUCUUGUAAACCAAAGACUGAAGACUCAUUCUUCUUAGAGUA